rfam:Candidatus Roizmanbacteria bacterium CG2_30_33_16 cg2_3.0_scaffold_14865_c, whole genome shotgun sequence.
GGGGCCAUAGCUCAAUUGGUUAGAGCGCUUCCCUGUCACGGAAGAGGUUGGGGGUUCGAGUCCCCUUGGCCUCG